GAUUUAGUGCCCUUCUUCCCUACAGACUCCGAUCUCUGCCUCAAGUUUGCUAUGCUGUGUACUCUUAAUGAGAAGUGUGACCGGCUACGCAAGGGUUACGGGGAGGCCUGCUCAGGACACCACUGCCAGCGCCAAGUCUGCCUUGGACAGCUGCGCUCCUUCUUUGAGAGGGCCUCUGAGCCUCAUGCGCAGGGCCUGCUGCUGUGCCCCUGCUUGCCCACUGACCGCGGCUGUGGGGAGCGUAGGCGCAACACUAUUGCUCCCAGCUGCGCACUGCCAACUGAGGCCCCCAACUGUCUGGAUUUGCAGAGCCUCUGUUUCACGGAUCCGCUGUGCAGGUAGGUGCAGGGUCUGGGCUGCAGGAUGGGCGUGGGUGUGACAUGUUCCACUCCUUCUGGCCACCUUCCUGCACCCGUUGGAUCUAACUGCCCUCAGGAAACAGUGGACCCACAAGGCGCUUCGCCUUGGAUAUUUUGUGAAACUCAUAUUAAAAGGAUUAUAGCUUUUGACCUGGUGCGAUGGUCACACCUGUAGUCCCAGCUCUCAGAGGCUGAGGAAGGAAGACUCCUUGCGUCUGAGUUCCAGACCAACCUGGGAAACAUAACAAAACCUCCUUUGUGUAAUAACUUCAGAAAACAUAAACUUGUAUAAAAAAUACCACUUACGGGCACAGUGACACAGGCCUAUAUAAAAAAUACCACUCAAAAUUCCCUCACCUAAAGAUAAUCUACCAUAAUUUGGUAAGCAUUUGCUUCCAGUUAUUUUUCUGGAAAAAUGAAAUGAAGACCCAGUGACUGGAAAAUGAAUCUCAGCAAGCUGGACAUGCUCAAACCAGAUGUGAAGGGCAAGCCAUCACUUUUAGUUCUCUACAAAAACUGGAAUAAUAAUACAGACCUCUAAUCAUGGUUAUAUUACUUAUGUAGAGUACUUAGCCUACUGGGGCAGAGUUAAGUCCUCAAUAAAUGGUAAUGCUAAUUUUGUCAUUUAUUGUCCUUUAAGAACUCCAUGUAUUUAUGUAGGGAGGUUUGCAUUUCAUUGCUGGGGUUUGAACCCAGAGCCUCACAAAUGCUAGGCACUGAAAAUCUGAAAUUACAAUCUGGUUUUCCUGUGUCUUCUCAGUACAAAACAACAAAUUGAACUUAUCAUCUGUUCAAAUAACAUUUUUUGACAAUAAAUGUCAUACCAACCAUGGUAUACAACUUAGAUCUAUUGCUUACUUUUUUGUGACAGGUGAUGCAGUAAGGAAAGUAGCUUUACCUCUUUGAUUACUACUUUCCUUAUCUGCAAAGUCAGGGCUCUCUAUAAUCAGAAUAUUAGCAUUUACUAAGUACUUCCUAUGAGCCAGAUAUUGAUUUAAGUAUUUAACAUGUAUUAACUCAUAUAAGCCUCAUAAGAACUCUGUAAGAUAGAUGCUCUUGUUUUAAUCAUCCUCAGUUUACAAAUGAACAAACCAUAGCAAAGAAUGGUUAAAUAACCACUAAUAGGUACACAGGGAACACAGCUAGUAGGUUAGGUCUGACUUAGAGUCUAUGCUUUUUUUUUUUUUUUUAAUUUUUAUUUUUUAGUUAUUGGCAGACACAACAUCUUUGUUUGUAUGUGGUGCUGAGGAUCGAACCUGGGCCGCACGCAUGCCAGUCGAGCGCGCUACCGCUUGAGCCACAUCCCCAGCCCGAGUCUAUGCUUUUAACUAUUCUGCUGUACUGCCUAUUACUACACUAGUAGCUAAUACUAUUAUAUAACAGGUACUAGGUUAGAUGGCUAAGAUAUUAUCUCUAUCUUCAAGGAGUUCAUAGUAGAGUGGAGGUGACAGAGAAGUAAACCAUUGACCCAAACAGAAAUGUAUUGAAAACUGCAGAAAAACAUACAGAAAGAAAAACACCCACAAUUACAUCACCCAAACAGAACUAGCCUUAUGUAUUGUGGGAUGAAUGUUAAUAAUAAUAUCUGGCUGGGUACUGUGGUGCACACCUGUAGUCCCAGCUACUUGGGAAAUUGAGACAGAAGGAUCAAAAGUUCCAGACCAACCUGUGCAACAUAUCAAGACCCUGUCUCAAUAUAAAAUUUAAAAAUUUUAGUAUACUUCAGUGCCUAAAAUGUGCGAGUCCCUGGGUUCUAUCCCCAGAACCACAAAUGAUAGUAAUAAUAAUAACAUCUAAUAUUUAUUUAUUUAUUUAGCAGUACUAGGGAUUGAACCCAGGGCUGCUCUGCCACUGAGCUAUAUCCUUAGCUCUUUUUAUUUUUUAUUUAGAGGCAGGGUAUUGCUAAAUUGCCAAGGUUGUCCUUGAAUUUGUAAUCCUCCUGCCUCAGCCUCCUGAGACACUGGGAUUAUGGGCACAUGCCACCACACCCAGCUCAUAUCUAACAUUUAUUAAACAAUAUGUGCCAGGCACUAUGCUGGAUGUGAUACAUGCAUUCUCUUAUUUCAUCAAUGAAAAUCUGCCAGGUUGUGCUUUUAUCCUAUUUUAUAGUCUAGGAAACUGGGGUGAAAGAAGCUGUCUAAGAUCUCAUAAUUAGAGAUUAUGAAGCCUAAAUUCAGAGUGAUGUGCUGAAGGCCCUGGGUUAAAAGUGACAGGGGCAGGCUCCACUGAGGAGAAGUUGGGGUGGACCAAGCACUGAAAGCAGAGGAGGAACUGGGGUGACAAUGAGCUUGCCAGGCUAAAGAGCAGCAAGGAUAAAGGCUGCAGGUCAGAUCUUCAUUGGGGACUCUUGAAAUUUCCCUUCUUGAGCCAGGCAUGGUAGCUUAUGUCUCUAAUCCCAGCUACUUUGGAAGCUGAGGCUGGAGGAUCACAAGUCUUCAAAAUUGUGAUUUUUAGACCCUGUCUCAAAAUUAAGAUAAAUAAAUAAAAAGGACUAGGGGUAUAGCCCAGUGGUAGAGUACCCCCUUCAGAACUGCCAAAAAAAAAAAUUUUUUUUCCUUUCUUCCAGAUCACGCCUGGUAGAUUUCCAGACCCACUGCCAUCCUAUGGACAUCCUGGGGACUUGUGCAACAGAACAGUCCAGAUGUCUGCGAGCAUAC
rnacentral:lncRNA from 1 species